rnacentral:rRNA from 1 species
ACAGUGGUAUGACGCUACGUCCGUUGGAUUAUGCCUGAACGCCUCUAAGGUCGUCUCCGUGCUGGACUGCAAUGAUAAAUAAGGGGCAAUUUGCAUUGUAUGCCUUCUAAACCAUUUAAAGUUUAUAAUUUACUUUAUAAACGACAAUGGAUGUGAUGCCAAUGUAAUUUGUAACAUAGUAAAUUGAGAGGAUUUUCGAUCACAUGAUGACGCGCUAGUUACAUAUAAAAUCAUUUUUUAAUACAAUGACAAAGCCUAGAAUCAAUUGUAAACGACUUUUGUAACAGGCAAGGUGUUGUAAGUGGUUGAGCAGCCGCCAUACUGCGAUCCACUGAAGCUUAUCCUUUGCUUGAUGAUUCGAUAUAAAAUAAAUGGUUGCCAAACAGCUCGUCAUCAAUUUAGUGACGCAUAUGAUAUUGUACCUAUCAUAUAAUUAAUAUAAAGAAUUUAAAGAAUUUUAUC